UAAAAGUUUGGAAUCUGGCUCUAGGAGCGAAACGCCUGGCGGCGUGCGCUAAUACAUGGCAAGUCGAACUGCUUCUUUUUUACUCCGGGAGCUUUGCUCCACCCGGAAAAAAGAAGAGUGGCGAACGGGGUGAGUAACACGUGGGGUAAACCUUCCCAUCAGAAGGGGAUAACAGGUGGGAAACAGGUGCUAAUUCCGUAUAUCAAUCAAAACCCCAUGGUGUUGAAUUGAGAAGGCGCUCUCGGCGUGUCGCUGAUGGAUGGACCCGCGGUGCAUUAGCUAGUUGGUGAGGUAACGGCUCACCAAGGCCACGAUGCAUAGCCGACCUGAGAGGGUGAUCGGCCACACUGGGACUGAGACACGGCCCAAACUCCUACGGGAGGCAGCAGUAGGGAAUAUUCGGCAAUGGGCGAAAGUCUGACCCAGCAACGCCGCGUGAGUGAAGAAGGCUUUCGGAUCGUAAAACUCUGUUGUUAGAGAAGAACAAGGAUGAGAGUAUCUGUUCAUCCCUUGACGGUAUCUAACCAGAAAGCCCCGGCUAACUUCGUGCCAGCAGCCGCGGUAAUACGUAGGGGGCAAGCGUUGUCCGGAUUUAUUGGGCGUAAAGCGAGCGCAGGCGGUUUUUUAAGUCUGAUGUGAAAGCCCCCGGCUCAACCGGGGAGGGUCAUUGGAAACUGGGAGACUUGAGUGCAGAAGAGGAGAGUGGAAUUCCAUGUGUAGCGGUGAAAUGCGUAGAUAUAUGGAGGAACACCAGUGGCGAAGGCGGCUCUCUGGUCCGUAACUGACGCUGAGGCUCGAAAGCGUGGGGAGCAAACAGGAUUAGAUACCCUGGUAGUCCACGCCGUAAACGAUGAGUGCUAAGUGUUGGAGGSUUUCCGCCCUUCAGUACUGCAGCUAACGCAUAAGCACUCCGCCUGGGAGGA
rnacentral:rRNA from 1 species